rnacentral:rRNA from 1 species
GGAGUCUGGGCCGUGUCUCAGUCCCAAUGUGGCCGUUCAUCCUCUCAGACCGGCUACCGAUCGUCGCCUUGGUAGGCCGUUACCCCACCAACCAGCUAAUCAGACGCAUCCCCAUCCAUCACCAAUGAAUCUUUACUCCUCGUUAGAUGUCCGCGAAGGAGACCAUCAGGUAUUAAUUCGCCUUUCGGCGGGCUAUCCCUGAGUGAUGGGAAGGUUGGAUACGCGUUACUCACCCGUGCGCCGGUCGCCAUCUAUCAAAGCAAGCUUCGAUAAUGCUGCCCCUCGACUUGCAUGUGUUAAGCCUGUAGCUAGCGUUCAUC